rnacentral:rRNA from 1 species
UGCAGAAUCCCGUGAACCAUCGAGUCUUUGAACGCAAGUUGCGCCCCAAGCCUUUUGGCCGAGGGCACGUCUGCCUGGGUGUCACAAAUCGUCGUCCCCCCACCCAUUUUUAAUGGAUGAGGGACGGAAGCUGGUCUCCCGUGUGAUACCGCAUGCGGUUGACCGAAAUCCGAGCUUAAGACGUUAGGAUCGUCUCGACAUGCGGUGGCGAAAUCCUCUCAAUUUGUCAUUCGAUCUUGUCUUUGAGCUCUCGAUGACCCAAAGUCCUCAACGCGACCCCAGGUCAGGCGGGAUCACCCGCUGAGUUUAAGCAUAUCAAUAAGCGGAGGAAAAGAAACUAACAAGGAUUCCCUUAGUAACGGCGAGCGAACCGGGAAGAGCCCAGCUUGAAAAUCGAACGUCUUCGGCGUUCGA